rnacentral:lncRNA from 1 species
UGUUUGUUAUAAAGAACUUUUUUUCGGUUUGGUAUAAGUAAGAACCGGCUGUUAUAGAAUAGAUAUAAAUUCAUGUAUAAAUAAGAACUAAAUGAAUUUUACAUUUGAAUGAAAAUUAAUUUAUUUUUAGAAAUAAAAAAAUUAUAUUUAAAUAGAUAAGAUGAAAUAAGAAAAAUACUAGAUAGUUAUAAAUAAAAAAUAAUAAUAUUAUCUUUUUCUUUAUAUUAGAAUUUGAAUUUUUAUAUUUUAUAUUUAUAUUUUAAAAUUUAUAAUUUUAACUUUUAAAUUUUAAAUUUUGAAAUUAAANAAUUUAAAUAUUUAAAACAUCAAAUUUUAAAUUUAAAAAUUUACAAAUAUUAAGUUAAAAUUUAUAAUUUAAAAUUAUAAAAUUUUAAUUUUAAGAUUACAAGUUAUAUAUUUUAAAAUUUAAAUUUUAAAAUUUAAAUUUUUAAAAAAUUAAAUAGGGAUGGGAAUAGCUCCCAUACAAGGGGUGGGAUAACUAUCCCACUCUUUAACAAGUUAUCCCUUCUUAUACCCAAUUGCAAAAAAAAGGUGGGAUAACUAUCCCACCCCCCUUUAUUCUCUAACCAAACGUAUACUUAUCCUGUCUAAAAUUAUAAAAGAAAAUUCUAUAACAUGUGCUAAAAAAAAUAAAAUUAAAUUAAAAAAAUGGUCAGUUUAUCUUUUUUAAAUAAUAUUAUAUUAUGGUAAAUUGGUCAAGAAAUAAAAAUUUUUUAUUUAUUUUACUCGAAAGUAUAGGAGCAUAUAUAGGUUUAUUUUUGACUUAAAUCUUCACAAUCCUCAGUAGCAAAUGAGCCCUCAAUCAAAUAUAUUUAAAAUUUUAUUUAAUUUAUUAUUUUACUAAAUUUAAUGAAUUACACUAUUUUCGAGCGUAUAAAGCAAUUAGGAAGUCACCGUCCAAACUCUAAUUUUUCUUUUUUUUAAAAAAAAAUUAUGGAUAGGGGUACAAUAGUAAUUUGGUUCGAGCUUAACUGUUUUGAUGUGUACAUUAUUGGGUACAGCUGGAAGAUACGUUGCGCCACAUGGCGCUUUGUGAUUGGGCUCCUAACAAAAGUCAACCCUCACAAUUAUUUUGUUUUGGUAAAAAUAGGUCUCCAGUUUAAUAUUUUUGUUUAUCGACAAUUUUAUCACAUUGAUUAUUUUGAUUUUAUUUGAUAAAAAUAGUUAAAUAAAAGAGUUAAUAAGAUUAUCAAAAAAAAUUAAAAUAAUUUAAUUCUAAAAAAAUGAAAAGUUAAAAAAUAUGCCAAUAGGAAAAAAAAAAAAAUAGGGUUGAGGAGGAAAUUUUAAACCUAAUUGCUGCUGAAAUUAAACAUAGGGUAAACUUCAAAUACCACCUCUUUGAUUUUACACUUUUUCACUUUAGUACCUUAUAGUUUAAAUAGUAUCAAUUUAAUACCAUGUGAUUUUAAUUUUUUCUUUUCGUUAAUCACUUUAUUAACUUUUCAUUAAAUCAUAUAUAAAAAAUUUUAAAUAACUCACCUAUAGUUUAUAAGAUAUUCACUUUAGUACUCUUUAGUUUUAACUUUGUCACUGAUUUAAGAAAAAAAAAUAAUGAAGAAAAUAAUAAAAUAAAAUAAAAUAAAAUCACAGGGUACAAAAAUGAUAUACUUUAAAUCACAAAAUAGUAAAAUGAGAAAUUACAAAACCACAAAAGCGGUUUUUGAAAUUUUCCCUCAAACAUAUGACAACACUUUGACUGACAACAAAAAAAACUUUAAAAAUCCAACGGUUAUAAUGCUUGUUCGACUCUGCUGAAGCUUCAACAAAAAUCAUACUUAAAUAAGAAUAUUUCCAAACACACUAAUAAUUAUCCCGUAAACUUAUUGUGGAUGUAGAAGCAAAAACAUGAACCUAAAGCUUUUACCUUCUUAAAGUAGACGCUUAUUUUUGUGUUACAUUUCAAAGCGUGAGUACUGUUGUUUUUUGAACAAGAGAAGUUUUUUCAAAAGCCAAACCAACAAAAAACAUAGCAUUUUUCCUCCUUACCCACAUGUUCGUUGAGAGCCCCACGUGACCGUCACAACUUGGAAUGUUAUGGACUACAAAGUGUGCUAUAAUUUAAACCACAAAUAAUCUAAAAUGAAGAGGGUAAGCUAAAGGUUUUCAAAUUCAUAAUUAUUAUUCACAUUAAUAUAAAACCCUCUGUAUAACAACAUGCGCAGAGUACAAAGAAUCCACUAAGAAAUAAGUAAUGCAGGCGCAUGAAAACAAAACAAAGCAAAACAAAACAAGCAACAAGAAGCUCUGCUACUGGACUCAAGACAACCUAGGUUCUUGUUACAGCCUUUAUCCAGCAUUCAUUUCGGCCUUCCCCAAUAUUACCAUAUAGGGAUGAUUAUCUAUAUACUCCUCAAAACUUCUGAAAUAUCUUAUAUAUCCAUACUUUUUUUUUUAUUUCAAAUAAUACUCCUCGUAUAUUUUUCCGUUAUUCAAAAAUAAUCCUAGUACCUAUUAAGUCAUCUCGAAUUACACACAGAUUAAAUUUUUAUCAGAGUUAAAAAGAAGUCAAAAUACUUUUUUUGCCCCUAAAUUAAGGAUAAAUAAGAAAAACUAGUGAAAAUAGAAGGGUAUAUUUGAAAAGACUAAAAGUCAAAAUACUUCCUUUGCCUCUAAUUUACGGGGCAAAUAAGAAAAAUUGGUGACAAUAAAAUGGUAUAUUUAAAAGGGCAAAAUAGUAAUUCACAGAGUUAACGGUUGUUUCUAACAAUUCACUAAUUGAAUUUAACUCUAAGAAUAUGUCUGAAAUAAUUUAGAAAGUUAAAGGGCAUUUUGAUAUUAGCCUUUUACGAAGGGUAAAUAAGAAAGUUGAGAACUUUUCAGGAGUAUAUAAACAAUUGCCCCUAACAUAUAGACCACAUACAUAACUUGGUUCUAUCUCUCAACUAUAGAUUCAGCUAUAAACAUGUCAAAUCCAAGAUUACUAUACUAUUGGAGUAGGAGCAUUUUGCUACCCACAAUUUUGCUGUGUGACAGAUGCUCUUAUGCCUGCCAUGUUCGCAAUCUCCGGACCUGAAACAACAUCGACAUCAUUACUCAUAUAAUGAGUGACAAUAUGGUAUUUAAGUUUUUAUCCAAUGCUUACAUUGCUUGCGAGUACAUCGGCUCCAUCUGAAACAGCAGCUCUUCUGCAUCGAUUGCAGCAGUCGUCGUGUCCUGCCCUUUUUGAAGUUUGUCGCUGCAAAAUCAGAAUCUACAAAAUCUUCAAGCAAUCAACAUAGACGGUAUGUGGAACAAGAAGAAAAAUGGAUAGUUGAGAACAAACAAAAUAUUGAAGGAUUUUGAGAAGAUCUGAAAAUAAACAUAACUAGCAGAAUCUGAAAAAGGAAAUAGCAAAAGUAAGAAUGUGCUUGUACCAGAUAAGCCAUUCGACAUGAUACCAAAAGGAAAUGGUGAAUACGAAUGCAGCUCUGCUAUAUGCCAUUCCUGAAUAAGCCAUUUAGAAAAAGAAAAAACCAUUACAAAAGGAUAAAUAAACCAAACCCAUUAGGCAAAGGAUACGAGUAAAAGCUACUUUCGUCAUUUCAACAAUUAUUGUUCUGUAAUAGUGAAUUCUUCAGUUUGCUCCUCUGCUUACUAUGUUUCUGUACCUGCUCCCCCUGGUUGCUGACAACAGUGAUUCUUGCUUUUCAGCUUCUAUUUGGCUUGUCGUUUAUCUUAGCCGGACUGCUUGUUUAGUACUGUUGGAGAAAGCAGAGAAAGUGUUCAGGUAUAUACUGUAUUAAUUAAAUUAAUAAAAAAAUCAAAAUCAAAUGUCUUGCAAUUUAAAUCUUCUGAUUAUAGCAAAGAAAGCACGAUACCUUCAACCUGUUACCCAGCUCCUUCCUGCUUCCUUAGCACCCUCUUUUCUAAUAAUCUCCCUAAGGUUACAUGAGACAUCCCAGAAACCCAUGCUUGCAAAAGCAUUCGACAUGGUGAUGUAGCCACCUUUGUCCUGAGUAGGAAUUGGAAGAAAAUCUACUGAAAAAAGCCCAAAAUCACUAUUCUGACUUACCACAGAAGCACCAAUCAAAGAGUUUCUUAUAUUUUCAUUGGGUUCAUAAGGCAUAUCAGAAAUCAACUUCUUAGCCUCUUGUAAUUUUCCAGCUCGACUAAGAAUAUCAACCAUACAACAGUAAUGAUCCAAAGCUGGUCUUAAUCCAUACUCAUUUCCCAUUUUCUUAAAGAUUUCACAAGCUUCCACGACCAAACCUCCAUUUCUACAAGCAGAAAGAACACCGAGGAAAGUGAUCUCACUGGGUCUUAUCCCAUAUUUCAACAUUUUUUCAAAAAGCUCUACUGCUUCUUUUGAUUUGCCAUUGUACCCACAUCCCACAAUCAUCCCUGUCCAACAAAUAGUAUCUUUCUCGGGUGCAGAUUCAAAAAUUUUGAGACCAUCCUCAAUAUGCCCACAUUUGGAAUACAUAUCAAUCAAAGAAAAGAUAGUAAUGCUCUCAGAGUUCAAACCAUUUUUUAUUGUAUAAGCAUGGAUUUGUACACCACCUUGAAACCAUGCUAGAGAAGAACAAGCUUUAAGAAUGUUCGAAACAACAUAAUGGUCUACUUCAACCCCUAUCAUCUGUUUAAAUAUAGAAAAUGCUAAAUGGUUUGAUCCUUUUUUAACACAACUAGCGAUAAGUCCAGUCCAUGCAAUUACAUCCUUAUAAGCUAACCCAUCGAACAACCUGAAUACAUCUUCUAAAUUUCCGCAUCUAGCAUAAAGAUCAAGAAGGACAGUUCCAACAACAUAAUCCAUAUCAAAUCCAUCUUUUAUGAUAAUAGAAUGAAUUUGAUGUCCAAGUCUUAUAUUUUCCAAGUUGAUGCAUACCUUUAAGGUACUUGAAAGAGUAAAUGCAUCAAACUUGACACCAAAAGACCAGAUCUCCAUUAUCAGAUCAAGUGCAAAAUUGUCAUAUCUAUUAACAGCAUAUCCCGAAAGCAUUGAGUUCAUUAGAGCCGAUCUCUCACAAACUAGUUCUUUGCAACUUAAAUACCAAUAGUAUAACUUCAUGGCAUCAUUAAUUAUUCCACAAUUUGCAUACAUAUCAAUCAAAGAAGACCCAGUAAAGCAAUUCAGCUCCAACCCACAUCUAAUAAUGUAGCUAUGGAUUUGUUUUCCCAUUUUCUCGAAUCCAAAAAUUCCACAAGUCUUCAAUGCACAAGGAAAAGUGAAAGAAUCAAGCAUAAAACCCUUCCUAUGCAUCGUAGAGACAUAAUCCAAUGCCUUCGGACUCUCUAUCUGUGCAAACCCAGCGAUCAUAGUGUUAUAAGAUACGACAUCAGGUUGGGAAAUUCGAUCGAAUAAAUAUUCUGCACCAUCCAUAUUACCUUCUCCACAAUACCCAGAAAUAAUUGUGUUCCAUGAAGCAGUAUUAGUCAUAAAAAACCCAUCAAAAACUCUCCGAGCUUCACAUAAACUCCCACAUUUGAUGUACAUAUCGAGAAUAGCAUUCAUCAAGACAGUAUCGCACUGCAGCUGCACUUGCAAAACACGUUCAUGGAUCCACCUGCCCAAUUCAAGAUCCCCAGCUAAUGCACAGGCUUUUAGUGCCGCAGAAAAUGUAUACCUAUUUGGCUCCUCCAAAUUAGAUUUCAACAUCUGGGUAAAGACUGCGAGUGCCUUAGAAGGAUUUCCUGAACGAGUAUGAGCCGAGAUCAAAGCAGUCCAAGAAACCACAUUUCUUUCGGGCAUUUCAUCAAACUUUUUACGGGCAUCAUUGUAACACCCAAAAUCAGUGUACAUAGCAAUUAAGUUGUUUGAAAUAUAAGUUUGGAGACCAAUUCCGAGCUUAACCAGGUAAGAGUGAAGCGAUUUGCCUCGAUUAAUGGCUAGGAUUCGCCCACACAAGCGUAUAGCCCUUGCUAUUGCCUCAAGACCAAGAGGAGGGAAGAACCCAAAUGGGUCUGCACUUACAAUGUUUCUCAUUGAACUUGAGAGAUUCUAAGUGCUAAAAAAAAGGAAUAUCACGCAUCUCUUACUGUGUCCAUUACAACUUACGUCCUUUGUCUGCUGAUGUAUUAUCACUUUGUUGAUCACAGUCUAAGUUCGAAUUCUGCAGAGAAAUAAAUUGAAUUGGAGCCAAACUUUAGAAAUUAGAUUAUUGAAAUUUUUAAAUUGAAACUCUACGGAUGAAACUGUAAUGAGAAUAUGAGAAUCAAAUUAUAUGAACUAAAUUGUAACAAUUGUUACAACUGUUAUAAUUGGAAGAAUUGUGACGACUGGAACUUGGACCUUUCAUAGAGAAAAACAAAAAAUUGUACAUUUGAAACUCGGACAACGAAAUUGAUAUCGUAUCAAACUUGAAGGACUAAAUUCAUAGCGAACUUGCUUCUUACUAAAGAUUUUAGUUCCCUGCACAGUUACAACUAUUUCUCAUUAAAUUCAUAGAAAAUACGCGUCUUAUGUGAUAAUUUACCAUAAAAACAGUUACUAGAUUGUUCGUGAAAUUUAUAAACAGUACAAACAUUACAUAAUCAUAAAUGGAAAGGGUGGAUAAGCCUUGCAUAUAUCAAGAAGUUGAUUUAAUCAGUAUUUCACUUCUGUAGUGCGCCCCCCCCCCCCCACAAAAAAAAAGAAGGAAAAAAAAAACUACAGAAUUUUUUGAGACAUAAAAACAAACAAGUGGCGGCAAUAGAAGAUUGCAAACUUAUAUAACAAAUAAAAAAUAAGAAAAAACUAAGUACAUGGAUCAGGUUACAUUACUUCAAUGAGUAAUUAAAAAGUAUAACAAAACAUAAGCCAAUAAAUUAAAGGAAAACAUGUUCCGAGAACCCCACAACUAUAGUUUAUAGGCAAUUUAGAAAUAGGCCACUCAAAUUUACUAAUUUUUCUAUUUUCAUUUUUCACUUUGUUAAUCAAUUAAUUAAAAAAUUGUAAAUUUAACGGUUCCAUUACCUAAUAAUGGUUAAUUUUACCGGUUUUAUUCGCUAAAAAGUGAUUAAAACUAUAAUUUGAUUAAAUCAUGAAUGCAUAUGAUUGAAUUGCCAAUUUAAUCGUCUAAAUCCACUCAAUUCCCAAAAAUGAAAAAUUAUGUUGAGAGGGCCAUCGUGCAACGGCAUACAUUAAACCCUAAAUCCUCCGUAUAUAUUACCUAAACAAAAUCAAGCAACUCCCUUAGAAAAUCAACAUAGAGAAAUAAGAACAAUCACAUCGCAAAUACAAUUGAUGAGGAUUGGCAUAAUAUUACUAUUAUGAAGUAUGAACUCACAAAAUCAUAUAUAUAUAUAUAUAUAUAUAGAGAGAGAGAGAGAGAGAGAGAGAGAGAGACAUCAAUGGCGGAGGAGAAAGAGUAGUAGAUCUGAUCACAUAGAGUUGCGUAUCCUAGAAAGAUUAGGGGUAAGGGAUGAGAGAUGUAACAACCUGAAGAAUAAAAGAGCAGAGUAGUUAAAAGGAGUAGUAAAGGUAGCAACUUUACGAGGUAAGGAUGAAAUAAGUGGCAGCAGCAGGUAGGUGAGGGAGCGAGCUCGGCGGGGUGAACCGACGGCAAGGGCGUCGAGGGAGACGAAGUGGGCGUCGGAGUGCCAGGGAGUCGGGGAAGACCUCGUCGGCUUGGGUGCCGAUGCACACGGCAAGCAUGAGCUCGCCGCCGCCGCCGCCGGAGGAGACCUUAUCGCCCUUCUUGUCCUCGAGCUUGUACUACUGCGGGGCGAGGGGCACCUCGGUGAGGUCGAAGACGAUGCGGCCCACGAAGUUCGCCUGGAUGCGGUCCUUGGAGAAGGCGAACACCUGGUGCCACCUAGGGUUCUGGUUCAGGCGGAACUCCGGCGGGUCGACGGGGAUUAGGGCAUCGUCGGAGCGCAUGGAGGUAGAGGGAUCGAGGCGGAGGAGGGGAGCUCCGACCAAAUCUAUACUUCAGAGGUUGACGGAUCGGGCGGCCAGAUUUCCGGAGCGGGCAAGGAUGGCGGACCUACUACCCGCCGGUUUGUGGGUUACGCGGAGGAAGCGCCCGCUAACCCGCAUCCAUUCACUAGAGCACUUUGGACCUGCCAAGCCCAGCCGAGGCCCAUAAACCGUCCGAAUUCAACCCAGAAGGCCCACAGUUCCAUUUUUUACAAAAUUGCUGUUAAGCCCUCGUAGGAUAGUUUAAUUGCAAUUCAGUACAAGUUGUUGAGACUAUAUAUUUAAAGAAUGUAAUAGUAAAAGGCAUGAAUGAAAUGGAUUAGCAUCUUUCUUCUUCCCCAAAAAUCCCUUCUUCUCUUCUCUACUUCUAACCCCAUCCCUCAUCUCUCUGUAACUCUCUCUUCCCCUCUCCAUCUCUACCCCUACACCUCUAUCUUUCUUAUUUCUCUCAAUUCUUAUCUUCCCCACUAUCUAUCUAUCUCCCUAUCUCUCUAUCUCUCCUCUUCGUGCCUCAGUUAUCUCUGAAUCUCAACCGGGGCAUUACAAGAGAUUAGGGUUCUGAAGAUGGAUCACUUGUUUUCAAGUAGAGGUGAAGUUGUAACCACCCUUGGAUUUGGGGAGAGUGGUCGUCGCCAUGGGAGGGGAGGAGAGAGAACGGAGACCUCUUUGAAGGUAGGGAGGAGCCGAGGGGAAGAAGAGUGUAAACGACGGGCACGUUCCGGUUUGAAUCCAUUAACCCGUUUUGGAAGGGAAUUAAUUAGGGAAAACUCCAAAUACCACCCCUAUGGUUCAGUGCUUAUCAUUUUUGUACUUUAUGAUUUAAAUUGUACCACUUUAAUAUCUUGUGAUUUUAUUUUUCUUUUUUUUUUAUUCCUUCGUUAACCUUUUCGUUAAAUCAAUGAGAAAAUUAAAACUAUAGAAUAAUAAAGUAAAAAUUUCGUAAACUACAGAAUACUAAAGUGAAUAUUUGAUCAAUCAUAAAAGGUAUUUUAGUUUUUUUUUCUCUAUAUAUUACACAGAAAAAUUAACGAAGAGAAUAAUAAAAAAAUAAAAUAAAAUCACAUAAUAAUACAGAUAAGGGAGAUAUUUAAAGUUUUUCCAAUUAACGAGGAAGGAGUUGUCGCAUACUUGGUUUAAACAUACCAACCUUACUACGAUGUAAACUUGACAUCCUAGCCACUUUGGGGUUUUACAAACCCUUGGAUCAAGGGAAGUGUAAGAUAUACACCCUUAUAUGGGGUGUACAAGUAGCAUUUAUCUUAUUUUAUUAGAUUGCAUGUAAUAGAAAGUGUCGUAAUUAUAAAUAAUUUAUUUUAGUCGUAUGCAGUUAAAAAAAUAGUUUUAAAAUUUUAUCAAUAUAUAUAUAUAUUAGGUGGUGAAAUUGCCUCUAAUGUUGAAAUGAAAAAUAUUUUCGAUUUCAAAGGUGAUUGGGAGGUAAGUUUAUUUUUUAUUUAAAAAUAGGGUAAACUUCAAAUACCCCCUUGUGGUUUCAUACUUUCUCACUUUAGUAUUCUGUGGUUUAAAGUGUAUCAAAUUAGCCCCUGUGGUUUCGCACUUUCUCACUUUAGUAUUUUGUGGUUUAAAGUGUAUCAAGUUAGUACCUUGUGGUUUUAUUUUUCUCUUUUUAUUAUCUAUUUCACUAAUUUUUUUCAUUAAAUCAAUGACAAAGUUAAAAUUAAAGGGUACUAAAGUGAAUAUUCAAUAAACCUAGGUAGGAUAUAUGAAGUUUUUUGUAUAUAGUUUAACGUAAUAUUAACGGAGGAAAAAAAAACCAGUGAUAAAAUUAAAACUAAAAGGCACUAAAGUAAAGAGUAAGUCUCCUGUACUUUUGAAAGUACGUAGACCUCCGUGCUUGUAAGUUAUUUUCAAUGAUAGAAAAUCCGAUUCGACGAUCGGCUCCGUUAAGUAUAAUCUACCCUAUUGGAACUAUUUAGAAACCAAAUUUUAUAAUUUUUUAACAUCAUUUACCAAGCGAUCAAAAGGUCUCAAAAAUGACUAUUUUAAUGACCGCUGUGGCACGUUUUUAAGUUCAACGGUGUAGAAGUAUCCAAAUUAGAUGAAAAUUUAAUAGAAAAUUCUAUUUAACAUCAAUAGCAAGACCAAUACUUCCGAUUUGAAAUUUGAGUCCUUUAUCACUGUUUUUUAUAAGAUUUUCAUUUUCAGCCGUUCAUUUUGAGGCUAUUCAUUUAUUAGACAAAUAAAAUCAAAAAAUUAUAAAAUUUAAUUUCUAGGUAGUUCCAACAACAUAGAUCAUGUCUAACGGAACCGAUCGCCGAAUCAGAUGUCCCAUUAUUGAAAACAACUUACAAGUACGGAGGCUCCCGUUCUUUCGAAAGCAUAGGAGCCUAGCUCCUAAAGUGAAUAUUAGAUAAACCUAAAUAGGGUGUCUGAAGUUUUUGUAUAUAAUUUAACGAAAUAUUAACAGAGGAGCCCACGAAAAGAAAAAAAUGAAACCAUAUGGUACUAAAUUGAUGCACUUUAAACCACAGGGUACUAAAGUGAGAAAGUGCGAAACCACAUAUUACUUAAUUGAUACAUUUUAAACCACAGAGUACUAAAGUGAAAAAGUGCGAAACCACAGAGCUAGUAUUUGAAGUUUUCCCUUAAAAAUACCUUUUUUUUAAAGUUAUCAUUGGAACUCCGAUUAUUUUGAAUAUAGUUUUAACUACUGUAGCUGAAUUUUUUUUUUUUGGAGAGAUAGGUAGCACGUUACUAGCUUCGUUUAUUUCAUUUUAAAAAUAAACUUAGCUGGAAAUGUAAAUCAACUAGGAUUCAGGACCUCGGGUACCAACCACCUAACCCUUUGCCACUUGCUCUAGGAAGAUGGUUACUGUAGCUGAAUUUUCUAAUGCACUUCCAACUAUAGUACUUUGAAUUCAAAAACAUCGACCUAAAUGUAGGAUCUAAUUCUGCAUGUAGUUAUGACAGCAAUAUAAUUAUAACUAUAUACAACUAAACACCCUUAUAGUGCUACAUUAAUUGCACUGAGGAAUAGCCUCUUUUUGUGCUUUUUUGUCAAAUCCGAAUAGAUUCGUAACAAAUUAAUUUUUAUCAUACUUUUAACUUUAUUUACGAAUUAGUUUUUUUUUUUUUGUGAUUCUUGCUACAAUGGGAAGCUUCAUCAAUCCGGAUUGAUUUGCAUCUCCAAUUGCAUUGUUGUGACUUAUUAUUUUUUAACCUUAGAUUUCUGUAAUGUAAAAAUUUACGGUAAAGGUAAAUACAAAACCUUGAAAAAUUUUAAUUGCAAAAUUGUUAACUGUUUAUCAAAUAGAUAAUAAUCAAAAAUAGUUUUUAGUUGAAUUAUAGUUUAACAGAAAAUUAUUUUUAAUCUAAAAACUUAGUGAGGGAUAAAUAAACAGGGUUUUUACACAAUUGUACGAUGCAGUAUCACUUGUAAAAUAAAACCGCACCAGAUGCGUGGCUGACGUGGCGCACCGGGUUCAGGCAAUAAUAACUUCUUCAAAUAGGAAGUGUGGUCUACGGGUUGUACUAAUGAACCGGGUGCAGGAUAUAAUUCCCGCGAGGGGACGGAGGCCCCGAAGCAACGCUCUUCGUCGUUCCCAUCGCCCCCAACUCCACUUCAAAACCCAAACCCCAUCUCUCUCUCUCUCUCUCUCUCUCUCUCUCUCUCUCUCCACCUCACGCAAUGGAGGCCUCGGCCAUGGCGAGAUCCCUCCUCUACACCUCCCCUCUCCCCGCCCACUCCAUCCCCACUCGAUCUCACUCGAGUCCCGAGCUCAUUCUCCACACCGCUUCCUCGAUUCGAGCUCGAAACCUAGCCCCUUUGUCGCUCUCGACGAAGAGCUCGAAGAGAUUCGUCGCUAGAUGCGCCUUUAACGGCGAGGAGAAGGGGGAGGCGGAGGUCCCGAUCGAGAAGAGUAAGUGUUUUUUGAAUCCGCCCUCAUUAUCUUCCGAUCAAGCGUUUUUUUUCUUUUCUUUUUUUCGUGAAUUGAUCUGUGUGAUGUUUUGGUGCUUGAUUUGAAGAGUUUCCGCCAUUUCCAACGGUUAUGGACAUCAAUCAGAUCCGUGAGAUCCUGCCGCAUAGGUGAGACUCUCAAAAUUUUCGGUGUUUUUCCUGAAUUUUAGUACAAAAUUUGUGAUUUUCACAUGUGUGGAUCUAUUGCAUACUCAAGAUGUGCAAUUUAAUUGUAUUUUCGAUUAAUUUGGAGUGCACUGUGAGAUAGGUUUCCAUUUCUUCUAGUGGAUAGAGUGAUCGAGUAUAAGCCGGGAGUUACAGCUGUUGGUAUUAAGAAUGUCACCAUAAAUGAUAACUUCUUCCCCGGGCAUUUUCCGGAGCGGCCGAUAAUGCCCGGUGUUCUCAUGGUUGAGGUAUCAACAUUGCCACUUUUUUCUUUAGCUUCACAUUUUGCUAUUCUCAAUAUAUUUAUUGUACUCUGAUGAAUAACUUUAUCUAUUAGAGGGUUAUCAUGGGUCUACAGUUAAAUCCUUUAGUGCUCACACAAGUAGCUGCCGUAUAUGAUAUUGCAAACAAAGAUUCAAGCAUGAAUAACAAUAGGCCUAAAUACUUUUUUUGAGAAUUUCCUUAGUAUUUCAAUACAGAUAUUAAAAAACUAAUAAAUAAAUGUGCAAAAAGUAUGCUGGCAUCCCCAUUUGCUUAACUGGGUUCACGACCUGAACUUUUAAAAAAUUGAAAUAGUAUAAACUCAAUAAGUGUUUCAAACAACUACCUACUCCCUGUCUUUCGUCAAUUUUCAUUUGUCAUCUUGAAUGACAUCACUGACCAACGACUCAAAUGCCUCUCUUCUUUCAAAUGACCAGAUACUUUUAUGGCUAAGUUAUUUGGCAUUUUUGUGAUUGAAGAUUGAUUAGAUAAAUUUACAAAAUUUGUGACUAGAUCGUUGAUUGAAACAAUUACUGAGUUUAUAUAAUUUAUCUUAAUUUUUGAAGUUUGGCCAGCGAUCUGUAAUGGCGCCAAUGUUCAGGGGUGUUUGGCAUAUUUUUCCCUAAACAUUACACGAAAGAAUGUUACUUACUCAAGGAGGUCAACUAGAAAUCAAAUAGAAUUUACUUCGAUUUGAAACCACUUAAAGAUUAGAAUUGUUUUGUGCAAGUUUUGGUGCUAAUUUUUGUUAUCAUGAAAAAAGGCUAAAGAGCACCAAGAAAAUGCAGUAGCGAAGUUCAGCAGCAGUAGCACCAAAACAUUCACUCAAGUUUCUACUCCAUGUAUUAGAGUCAAAUCUUAUAUGUGAUUUACAAAAUUAAGAAAAAAGUGCCUUUGCACUGUCUAUAUGCCUGUCUAUAGUUUUAUUUUUGCAAGGUUUGCAUGGCAGAGAUCAUAAAGUUCCAUAGUGUUUUGUAAUCUAAUGGUUUUUUAGUAGCCCUGGAUACAAAAUUUAUGAAGGUAUUUUGAAAUUAUUAAUAUCGAGAGGAUGAGAUGGUUUGUAUGUAGAAAAUGAUUAUUGUUGUCCUUGACUUUCUUUUCCUUCCAUCCUUGACUUCCUUUUCCUUCCAAGUCUACAACUAGAGGCAGAUUUAGAAAGUCUGAAAGUCUAUAAAGCCCUUAUCUCAGGAUAGAUGAUUCUUUUGUCGAGGUAGUACUAAUUUUUAUCUCUCUUCAUCUCUUGAAUUUGGAGGAUAAAGCAAGCAUAAACAAAUUUGUUCUGCACUUCUCACUUCCUUGCUAGGCUAAAAGAACACCCUCUGCCCUCCAUUUCUCUAUUUGACUAGCCUAUGUAUCUCUAGUUCCUGUUUUCGAUAAUCUUUUUAUUUUGUAUUAUCUUGGCAGAUCUACAUGAAUUCUGAUUUUUUUAUUUUUAUUUUUACUAAAUACCACAAUUUGAACUAUGACUUGUAGAGUGUGCUAUAAAUAUAAUUGAGACGUCCACAACUUAUAGCUAAGCAUCCAUAAUUCUUUUGAAAAGUUUGGGCUUGAUGAUGCAGGCCAUGGCCCAGGUGGGAGGCCUAGUAAUGCUUCAGCCUGAGGUUGGCGGGUCGCGUGAAAACUUCUUCUUUGCCGGCAUUGACAAAGUGAGGUUCCGGAAGCCCGUGAUUGCAGGGGACACCUUAGUUAUGAGAAUGACUCUGGUCAAAUUGCAAAAGAGAUUUGGAAUUGCAAAAAUGGAAGGAAAGGCUUAUGUCGGCGGUGAUGUGGUGUGUGAGGGAGAGUUCUUGAUGGCCACAGGGAGUGAAUAAUUGUGCUAGCUGACUUCUUGAUUCAGGUUCUUCUCUUCCACAGAAUUAUGUGCUGUCACAGAGAUUCUUAAUUUAUUUUUCUCCGAACAAGUUUAGAGCCCAAUUUUCUUUAACCUUUUCGAACUUCCCGCCUUAUAUUAUAUCUUCUUGUCUUUUUUUCUUCUUGUCUUUUUUUAUGGUUUGUGGGAAUUUUGUGAACUUCCUGUUGUAGUUGUUCAGAAUAAUGAAUUUGACAUUCUGUAAACUUUCUUUAUAAUAAUUUUCUGCCCUUGAAGACCCCUUGAAACUUUUCAACAGUAAUGCGUGAGGAUUACCCUAUAUGAAUUUAAGUUACUUUAUUCUUGCUAAACUAGUUGAUAUCAUUCACUGAACGCUAGGCUUCUGGCAUGCUUGAAAAUGAAUGAAUAGUGAUAUGUGUUAGAGUUUAUGCACAUCUUUUAAGUCUGAAAUUACUGCUGUUAAAUUUUUUAGGAUCUUCUCUAUAUUGCUUUACUGUUGUUACUCAGUACCCUAUUUAGGGCAGAAGUAUAUAAUGGGAUUUAUUUCAUUAAUUAUCUUGUAAGUUCUGUAUUCUUAUAUCAAAAGAGUCCCUCUGUCCAGAAAAUAGAGACAUCCUUGUCUUGUCCUUAUGUCCUUUACAAUCAAAUAAUCAUAGGAAAGAAUUAUGAAAAUGAAUGACUAAAUAAUGUUACAGUUCAUCGGAGCACGGAUAUUAUCUGUGCCCCUACUAGAUAAAGAAAUACAAAGUCUAAUGAGACAACACAAAUGUGCAACAAGGUUGGUACAUAUGAUAGGCUAUAAUGGCUUGAUAUUCUCUUGCCAGAUCUAAUACUAUGAGAUAAGAGAGUAAUGUUGUGGAGAGGGUUUAGCUACCCGGAGAUGAUGAGAUUUGUGAGAGGUUGGACUUACCAAAUCCCUUCGGGUUGAAUAAUCCUAUUGUGAUGGUUUUACAGAAUUCCACACAAGGUGUUGGUAUUAGACAAGAUUGAUUCAAAAAAAAAAAAAUCCCGCUGUAACCCACUGCAUCCACCCUUUACUCAUCAUGUCGGAAAAAAAAAAAGAAAGAAAAGAAAACCUUGUAAGUGGCGCCUGGUGCAGCCGUGGACCGUGUUGGGCUGCAUCUUGGUGGCCUACAGCCUGGCACGGCACAGCCUGAUAAUGUGGUGCUCAACUGCGACCCACACGGCCUGGUUGUGUUUUUUUUUUCUUUGGCAUUCUUGUAAAUUUUCUUUCUAUUAGGUCUCCAAAUAACUUAAACUAUUUAAGUUUCGAGUAGUUUUCUUAAAAAUUUAUAUAGAAGCUAUUUACUCAAUAAAUAACAAUACAGACUUUAUAAAGCUAAUAUUAAAAUUUAAAAGUUUAAAAAAACUUAAGAAAAUAAGGAAAUUAAAAAAUUGGGCCGGCCUGCAUCUUGGAACNCCCAAGCCCAAAUCCAAAAAUUUUUGGGCGGGGCUUAGGCUGGGCAACUGUAGGGAUGUAUACUACGAAGAAACAGAGAAACCAUUCCAAGAUUAUACCCGACAUCCCCACAUUUGCUUGGCUUGUGCUUGCUCGACCUCAGCCGAGCACAAGCCGAGCAAAUUAAAUUAUUUGCUCGGUUUGUGCUCGACCGAGCAAUUUCAUAGUUCGGUUUUUUAAGUCGAGCACAAGCCGAGCAAUUAUUUGCUCGGCUUGUGCUCGACUUAAAAAGGCGAGCUAUGAAAUUGCUCGGUCGAGCACAAGCCGAGCAAAUUAUUUGCUCGGCUUGUGCUCGACUUAAAAAGGCGAGCUAUGAAAUUGCUCGGUCGAGCACAAGCCGAGCAAAUUAUUUGCUCGACUUGUGCUCGGCUGGGAUCGAGCGAGAACAAGCCGAGCAAAUGUGGGAUAACAGUGCACUCUUAACGAUCAAAGUGUAUGAUGAACGUACAACGUCGAAUUAAUUAAUGAGGGUGAUAAACAUGAGGCAUUGUUUAUGUGUUGUGAUUAAUUUUUGGUGAAUUGUGCACAUAUAUGAUUAGGAUUUGGUAACGUUAAUAAUCAAAAAAAUAAGAAAAACAUCAAAAGAUUUUAGAAAAACUACAAGAAAGUAUUGAAACUCGAAAUUUACGUUUCAAUACAUAACAAUAUUAACACAAUUACACAAUAUUUUGGGUACGAAAAGAUAUUAUACCGGUGAUCUGAGGUGGGAGGGGAAGAGUUCGUACGAACUCCUCGGUUUAAACGAAGAUAUAUAUAUAAUGGUUUUGCUGAACCUCUCUUCACACACCGAAACAAAAUUCUGGGAAGAUAUCUCUCUCUCUCUCUCUCUCUCUCUCUCUCUCUCUCUCUCUCUCUCUCUCUCUCUACCCACACGAGAGGAACGUGGUAGGUACCCGGAAGAGGAAACCAUAGGAUCCAUAUGUAUGGUUCGUAUCUAGAAGAAAAGAAAAAAGAAAAAAGAAAAAAUUCAAGAACACAUGAAUCAUCUUAAACAAAGAACCAGAAACAAAACUUGAAUUAUCGAGUACAAAAGAGGAAGGACUUUGAAGAAAGAAACAACAUUAUGAAAAAAUCCUCUUAAUGGAGAAUAAUCAUACGUUUAUUAAUUACCUCCUCCCACGUAAAACUUACGUUCCUCUUAUAACCACGUGUCGAACUACAACUUAAUUCACCGGUGGAUAUGAUUGAUUCGUGUAUAUAUUAGUAUGUUUUGAAAGGAUUAAACCUAUAAAAAUCCAAGAAUUAAUACCAGAUACUCCUAUGAAAAGGGGGAUGGAACCUAUUCAAGUAAAGUUUGAAAAGGAACACACUCAUAUUAGUAAUAUUAUAUAUAUAAGUACUCACAGGAACAACCGGUAAAUCACCAACAGAGUUUUUAGUUAUGAUUCGGUUAAUUAAUUAAUUUACAACCGAGUUUUCUAAGCGGAAAAGUAAUUCUUAGAUUUCCAAUGAAACAUACUACGCAAGUUAUUUUGGUAUAAUUAGAUUGUGUUCUUUAACGUCUCACAUGUAUACUAAGUAAAUCAGAAAUAUACGCUGAUAGAUUAAUAUUAAUGAUUAAUUAAUGAAGAAUACUUAACAUCCGUUAUAGUAGAGUAAGUACCACAUAGAACGGGGUCACAUUCCUGAGAGAGAGAGAGAGAGGUAAAACAAAAACUUACAAUACAAAUGAUGUAUUUAUUAGCUAGCUAGUAAGAGGUAAUAAUAUAUAGUGAUGUUGUUUUAACGGAAAAUCGCCGUUAAUAGAGUAUUUAAUCGUCGUUAAUAGAGUAUUAAAACAACAUCACAAUCGAAUUCGAAAGUUUCAUUAGUUAACGAACCGUACAAUUGUAUUACUCUCUUGAACGAAAUUUACGUUUACCGUCCGGCUGUAAAAUGGCAUAAAUGCUCUCCUUUAGUUGACUUCCUAAAGUUAGACACGGAAUGCACCAACGCGAGAAGUCACGAUACAAUACCUAUAUAAUGCGUAAGGAAUUUCGUUUACGAAUAGAGGAAUAGUGGUAAUUGAGUUAGCCUACGGAGUAGCUCUGGCAUAUGUAUCAGUACAUAGAGUAAAUACGUGGGUUCUCACGUUUCCAUUCUCGUAAUUAUACCGAGUAAUAAAAGUAAAAAUACAAUAAAUAAGUAUUUAAAAGAAUAACUUCUAUUAUAUAUAUAACAUAUAACGUCUAAAAAUGACGGUUUUAAGAAGAUGAAUACUUGCAGCCUUAAAAGCCAAGCUAAGAAGAAGAGUGAGAAGAUGAUACAUUUCCGCGCUUGGCUCAAUAAUAAGAACCUACCCAAACACAACCGAAGAGCUAUUCGCAGAAACAGCGUGGGGAUUCAUAGUAACACUCAUGUUGUUUAUUAAAAUCAAUCCUGUACGUUGGUUUUGCAAAACGAAAGAUUUUAAAAUUGAAUUGUUCUUAAUUAAAGUUAAAUUGAUUAAAUUAAAAACACAAAUGAUAUAUAAAGAAUAAUUAUCUCCGAGCAAUAAGCCUGCUUUUCGCACCUCAAGUACGGAAACAGUGAGAGUAAGAAGGAGUGUAACCGGCGCCAACAAACCAAGCGAAUACCGGAUGAUUAUUUCCUGUUUAAACAACGCCAUUAAUGCAUUAAAGGUAGGUGAAUCGAGUAAAAUGAGUUAAAACAGGAACGAUUGUUAAAAUAAAUAAAAAAAAAUAAUAAGUAACACAAUAAAGAACGAGAAGAACGAGUACAUGUAUCGAAGGUUUACACGACCCGAAAGAGAAACCAUACUAGGUUUACCACGAGAUGUAUUGGAUGUUCCUACACUUUGGCCAGCGCUUUGGCUAGUGCGUUCUCGUGUUCAACGGGCUCGUGUAACACCGCUAGCACUUCCAUCUACGCUGCUCCCCCUCCCCCAGCAGCUUUGGCGGUGUACGGCUGUUCCUUCUCUUUCCCUUGUUUUAUUCUCCUACUAUUCCGUCCGUACUUUCCACCGGUUCUCCCUCAACUUUACCCUGGUACAACUCCAAACUAUCGAGUACGUUGAGAGUACCCUUACUCUGAGUGAACCUGUACACCAAUCAAUUAAUUGAUAUAGUAUUACUAAAUUUAUUUUGGGAUUGGAAUUAACCAACCUGAAUACGUACGUACAUUUUAUUCACUCACAUACUCUCUCUCUCUCUCUCUCUCUCUCUCUCUCUCCCUUUUAGGAAAAAAAGGGGAGUAAAAUACGAAUACAGGUUUCACGAACACCUCCCCUUCCUAAUUAAUACCCGACACGGGAAUCCCCGACAAACCAACAUGCAUAAACGUUGACGUCACGUCAACGUUUACGCACGUCGGUAUUAAGAAAACAAACCAAAUCACAUCAACUCAAGUUGACGACGUCAAGGUUGACGUGUUCUUCCGGGUUUACGACGUCAACCUUGAUGUAGGUUUAACUAGCAUCAAGGUUGACGUCGUCAAUCACUCCCUAUCCUAGUGGGUGUUUAAUAAUUAUUAUUUAUUUAUUUAUUUAUCGGACUACCAAAUCCGAAACCCGAACCCGACCAAAAAUCGGAAACCCAAACCCGAACCCGAACCCAAAAACCCGAACUCGAAUCCAAGUGCUUCUCUUUUAGCUAUAAGCCCAUACCCAAAUUAAACAAAGGAAAAUUGCAAAAAAUAUGAGUUCUUUUGCCCAACAACCCAUAAGAAAAAAACAAAAGUUAAAAAAAAACAUAGAUGUAAAGAAUCAACUCAUAAGAAUUAAAAGACUAAAAUUAAAAAUAUUAAUUAAGAAAAAAAGACAAAAAAAUUUAAAAAAAUUAAAAAAGAAUGGAUAGUUCCAUAGCCCAACAACCCAUAAGAACUAAGAGAUUACUAAUUAAGAGAAAAACAAAAUAAAAAAUUUCUAAAUUUUUUUUUUAAAAAAGAUUGUUCCGUCGUCCAAAAAUCCACAAGACUAAAAGACUAAAGUUAAAAAUACUAAUUAAGAGAAAAAUAAAACUCAAUUUUUUAAAAAAAUAAAAAAGAAAAGAUAGCUCCAUUGCCCAACACCCCACAAGAACUAAAAGACUAAACUUUAAAAAUAAGAAAAAAGACAUAUAGAUAUGAAGAAUAAAAAAAACCCACAUAAAAAAUGCAACCUUAAUUCUCAAAUUUUCUUUUAAAAAAAAUUCUCACCUUUUUUCCUCUUAGGUUUGAGUUUGUGGUUCUUGGGGAGGAAGCAACAAGCCAAAGUAUACUCUUGGCCUCUUGGAGAGGAAUUAACAGGAGACUACAACCACUUCUCUUGUUCUUUAGUAGGGAUUCGGGUUAGGAUUUGGGGAAGGACUUGGGAAGGCUUUGAAGUUUGAAUUUUAAGGUUUGGUUUAUAAAAAUAUAUAUAUUUUAGUUUGGGUUAUAAAAGUAUUUAAGUUUUUUUCUUGACCUUUAGAUUGAGAUCUAAUGGUUUGAACUUUUUUAUAUAUUAUAUCAUAUUAAAUUUGUUCGGGUUCGGGUUUGGGUCGGGGCCGGGGUCGGGGUAGGGGUCGGGUUCAGGUUCAGACUUUUUUAGAAUAUCCAUACCCGAACCUGAAUCCAUCGGAUCUUUUUUUUAAUAUCCAUAUCCGAAUCCAUAUCCAUUUACAUCGGGUAAAAUCCGCUCCGUUCAGGUUUGGAUUCGGAUAAAAUUCGGGUAUCCGUAUCCAUUUACAUCCCAAUUUAUAUGAGGUAGCCAUGCAGAUUUUUCUCUUAUCCAUGUUCAUCUACUCUAGUUUUAACUGCCCUCCAGGUCAGAUCAUAGUUAAUGCUCUCGCAGGCCUUCCCUGCUUGUAUGAAAAUAAUAAGUGCUAGUGAUGAUAUGUCAUACUCAUUUCCAAGAUGGCUUGGUUCUUUUUCUAGUGUUACAUUACUUUCACCAUGACUCAGAGCUGUACCGCAAGCAUAUAUUCCUUUUCUCUUUCGUACCACAGUAAAUUUAUGAAUUGUACAUGUACCUCUGCAAUAUUUCAACUUAGUUCCUGAACAUUUUACUUAAACAUUUUACUCCCUAAUUUUUUCCAUAUAUGGAAAUCACAUUUUGUGCCAUCCCAAAUACCUGAGGUCCUUUAAAUCAUGUUCUCAACGUGUGAUCUUUUCUCUGAAGGCCAAUUAUACUCUCUGUUGUAAAGGAGCUUCAAUACUCCAAUUUAUUGGAGCAGGGUCAAUGGUCAUGUUGCAGGUGAAGAGGCGCGAGCUGAGCAUGUUACUUAACGAACAUUAAUUAUUUGGGAUAGGCCAGGAAUGCCACCAUCGGGGGAAGUUCAGGGAUAAUAAUAUUUUAAGUGAAGAGUUUAGGGACAAAGUCGCAAUAUGGUGAAAGUACAGGGAGUGUCAUAAAUUUUACCCCAAGUUUGUUUAUCUAUGCCAGUUUUAGGAACAAAGUCACAUGAUGGUGAAAGUACAGGGAAUAUCUUACAUUUUACCGUAAGUUUGUUUAUCUAUACUAGUUCUAGGAACAAAGUCACACGAUGGCGAAAGUACAGGGAAUAUCUUACAUUUUACCUAAGUUUGUUAAUGAGAAAAUUUCAAAUACCACCCCUGUGGUUUCGCACUUUUUCACUUUACUACCCUAAGGUUUAAAGUGUAUCAAUUUAGUACCCUAUGGUUUCGCACUUUCUCACUUUAGUAUCCUGUGGUUUAAAGUGCCUCAAUUUAGUACCCUGUGGUUUCAUUUUUCUCUUUUCGUCGGCUCCUCUGUUAAUAUUUCGUUAAAUUAUAUACAAAAAACGUCAGAUACUCUACCUAGGUUUAUCAAAUAUUUACUUUAGUACUCUUUACUUUUAACUUUGUCAUUGAUUUUUUUUCCCUCCAUUAAUAUUUCAUUAAAAACUUCAGAUACCCUACCUAGGUUUAUUGAAUAUUCACUUUAGUACUCUUUAAUUUAACUUUAUCACUGAUUUAACGAAAAAAAAUAGUGAAAUGGAUAAAUAAAAAGAGAAAAAUGAAACCACAUGGUAUUAACUUGAUACACUUUAAACCACAGGGUACUAAAGUGAGAAAGUGCGAAACCACAACAGCUAAUUUAACACACUUUAAACCACAGGGCACUAAAGUAAGAAAAUGUGAAACCACAAGGGGGGUAUUUGAAGUUUACCC